rnacentral:rRNA from 1 species
AACGCGAAGAACCUUACCCGGGUUUGAAAUACAGAGGACGUUGGUAGAAAUAUCAAUUCUCGCAAGGGUCUUUGUACAGGUGCUGCAUGGCUGUCGUCAGCUCGUGCCGUGAGGUGUUGGGUUAAGUCCCGCAACGAGCGCAACCCUUAUCAUUAGUUGCCAACACGCAAGGUGGGGACUCUAAUGAGACUGCCUGGGUUAACCAGGAGGAAGGUGAGGAUGACGUCAAGUCCGCAUGGCCUUUAUAUCCGGGGCUACACACGUGCUACAAUGGUCGGUACAGAAGGCUGCGAAACCGUGAGGUGAAGCAAAUCCCAAAAAACCGAUCUCAGUUCAGAUUGUAGUCUGCAACUCGACUACAUGAAGUUGGAAUUGCUAGUAAUGGCGUGUCAGCAACAACGCCGUGAAUACGUUCCCGGGCCUGUACACACCGCACUAC